rnacentral:lncRNA from 1 species
UUGAAUUCUACUCCAAAGUGUAGGGCAUGUUGUAAGUUUUCUAUCUAUCUCAAAUAUUUAUUUUUGUGCUUAGAUUUCUUUUUAAUUAUCAAAGAUACUUUAAAAGAUAUUGCUUGAAAUGGCAGAUCAAAUAUAAAUUUUCAUUGAGUAAAUGUUAUGAUUAUCACUUGGUUAGUCUUCCUAAUAUAUUGUGCUUUGCUAAUGAUUAUAUUUGUGAAAUUUCACUGAGUAUAUAAUUGUUGCUAAUACUUAUAUUGGUAAAAUACAAUUUAAUAAAACUCAGUGUUAUUUGAUUAUAAUAAAUUGAUCUAUAUAGCGGUUGAUUAAGUUCUAGAAGCUCUUGAUAGGAUUCUUAAAUAGUAUUAUAUUCGGCACAUACAAAUUUGAACUUUAUGAUUAUGAGUUUGAUCAAUUUCCUAAUCUUACGAAAUAUAUAUAUAUAUAUAUAUAUAUAUAUAUAUAUAUAUAUAUUUCUUUUGUCUUAGUUGAGCCAAAUUUUACACUUAAGCUAAAUGUGGUGUUAAAAUAACAGUAUUAUUUAUACUUGAUCCAUAUUAUAGUUUGCUCAAGAUAUUGGAUUCCCGAAAGAUCAAGUUCAGCUUAUACUCUAUGUGUGGUGUAUGAGGUAAGUUUCUGAAACUUUUGUUUAGAAUGUUUUUUAGGUGUUUUAAAAGCUUGCCCCUCCUCUUUUCCAACUACAAAUACCUGUAAUUUGAAAAAUCAAUUGUUAUUAUUUCUUUUCUAUUUUUUGGGUUCCUAUCAUUUGGAUUAUUUUAUGUCCAGAUUAAGGCUUAGUUGGAUAAACCUCUAGAGAAGGAUCAUAGAUAGAAAUCCAUAUUUGUAUUCAUAUGCGAAGAAAUAUCAGUCAAGGAAUAAUAGAUCUUGGUGAAUCAUAUGUUUUUCUUUUCUAUGUUGACUUUUGGGUAACGUUUAUCAUAACAUCCGCAGGAGUAUCAAGUCCAUGCUGCUACUCUUGUAUUUAGAGGAUGGUACGUUUGGUAAAAUAAUUUCUUAAAUGUCUGGCUGCGUAUGGCUUUGCUUUUGGAUGCUAGAAUAUUCCCAAUCCAGUGGUGCUUUGUUAUGUGUUGAAAAUCAUAAUUGUGACAUUUAUUGCUCACUCUGACUGUCACCUUUAAUCGAUAAAAUUUCUUUAGCUUGAAGAGUUUCUAACUCAUCGACUGCGGAAUAUCACAGGAAACUAUAUCUAGGCAGAGUGAGCAUGAAGGUAUCGAUAUUGAGUAAAUCACCAAACUAGAGAUGCUAGCAUUGAUGAUCAGAAAAAUAUUGGUUGGUUGAAACAUGGUUCGAUUAACUUCUAACUCAGUAACAAAGAGAGAGUGGCAUUAGAGAACAAAUUAAAUGAUGAAGGAAAUACUGCUAAUUGAUCUAGAAAUUGAAGAGUGAAAAAAUGAACUGAACAGGUAAAUGAUGCUGGUGGCAGGCCUCAGAGAUACAAUUGAUGAAUCAGUAGAAAAAAAUACUGAUGAUAUGUUGAGAGAAAAUGAGAAUUCUAUGAAGAAGUGCACCUGGACUAUAGAGCUCCUCACCCAUUAAUUGUCUCAUCCACUAAAAAGGAAGAAGUUGGG